rnacentral:rRNA from 1 species
AGAGUUUGAUCCUGGCUCAGGACGAACGCUGGCGGCGUGCUUAACACAUGCAAGUCGAACGAGAAUCUACUGAAAGAGUUUUCGGACAAUGGAAGUAGAGGAAAGUGGCGGACGGGUGAGUAACGCGUGAGGAACCUGCCUUGAAGAGGGGGACAACAGUUGGAAACGACUGCUAAUACCGCAUGACGCAUAGAGGUCGCAUGAUCUUUAUGCCAAAGAUUUAUCGCUUCAAGAUGGCCUCGCGUCUGAUUAGCUAGUUGGCGGGGUAACGGCCCACCAAGGCGACGAUCAGUAGCCGGACUGAGAGGUUGAACGGCCACAUUGGGACUGAGAUACGGCCCAGACUCCUACGGGAGGCAGCAGUGGGGAAUAUUGGGCAAUGGGCGCAAGCCUGACCCAGCAACGCCGCGUGAAGGAAGAAGGCUUUCGGGUUGUAAACUUCUUUUAAGAGGGAAGAGCAGAAGACGGUACCUCUAGAAUAAGCCACGGCUAACUACGUGCCAGCAGCCGCGGUAAUACGUAGGUGGCAAGCGUUGUCCGGAAUUAUUGGGCGUAAAGCGCGCGCAGGCGGCUUCCCAAGUCCCUCUUAAAAGUGCGGGGCUUAACCCCGUGAUGGGAAGGAAACUGGGAAGCUGGAGUAUCGGAGAGGAAAGUGGAAUUCCUAGUGUAGCGGUGAAAUGCGUAGAGAUUAGGAAGAACACCGGUGGCGAAGGCGACUUUCUGGACGAAAACUGACGCUGAGGCGCGAAAGCGUGGGGAGCAAACAGGAUUAGAUACCCUGGUAGUCCACGCCGUAAACG